UGCGUAGGCGGAAAUACAAGUGUCAUGUGAAAUCCCUCGGCUUAACCGAGGAAUGGCUUGGCAAACUGUAUUUCUUGAGGCAAGUAGGGGUGUGUGGAACUCUUGGUGGAGCGGUGGAAUGCGUAGAUAUCAAGAGGAACGCCGAAGGUGAAGACAGCACACUGGACUUGUACUGACGCUGAGGCACGAAAGCGUGGGGAGCAAACAGGAUUAGAUACCCUGGUAGUC
rnacentral:rRNA from 1 species